AUUCACCCACAUACUCAAUCUCAUCAUCUCCCCCAAAUCUCUCUUCAGAGACCCCAAACAACCUUCAAAACCCUAGCACCGGCCUAAAAACCCACCACUCUAAGCCGGCGGCGCCGGCUUCGAUAGCCACCAAACUCACACCCCUAAAACACCUAGACCCCCCACCCCCCGAAAUCUUUGCCCAGUUUCCCUCGAAUCCCAACCGAUGUCGUCGAAUCUUCAAUCAAAGAUUGGUCCAAAACCCUAGUCAAAUCAAUUCACCCCAAAUCAAAACCCCUUGACCACUACACCUUCCUCAUCCCUAAUCGAACACAAUUUUUCUACGAAUCAAGUUGGAAAUUCUCGAAUAUUAUUUCAAAUGGAUGAACCCUAAGAAUUGAUGCGAGUUUGGAGAACUGAAGUCGUAAUUGACCUUAAUAGUGUGUUCUCAAUCGAGAACACUCGCUUAAGGUUCAUUUCAACUUCAAAUGAGAGAAUCAAGGUUUUCAAGUUCAAGACAUGCUUUGGUUGGGUUUGAGGUAUUUACAUGGUUCUUUCCUUCUCAUUUUUUCAAUUUUUCUUCUGCUUCAUUGUGUUUCAUCUAUUAGUACUAGCCAUUGCUUCAUGUUCUCUGUCAUGCCGUAGUUUUAAUACAGAAUUUCAUGAGGCUAGUAUUAGGUUUCUCUAUAUGUUUCCUGUCCGUUAACGUGCUUUAAUUGCGUAAUGUUUCUCUAUUUGUUUUUUGUUCGUUAAUGUUUUUUGUUCCAAUGUCUGUUUGAUUGGUUUAUGAUAGAUUUUAUGGUAUUGUUAGUAUUAUUGGCUAGAAAAGUCCUGUUAGCUUUUGUGAAGAUAAAGUUUUAAAUAUGUGUUCUUCAUGUUUGUACAGUCUUAUGUACCUCAGUAUUAGGUUUGUUAGAUUUGUUUUAAGAGAUGUUUUUGCCAUGUUUGUUUGUCCUUAAUGAGCUUGUGGAUUAACUGAACAAUACAGUAGUAGGAUAGUGAAUUCAAGGACCUAGGGGUAAUUCAGGAAGUCUAGCUUAAGGGAAUCUCACUGAUCAAUUAAGAAAUGUAAAGGGGACCAGUUAGUGAAAAGGACAGCUUUUAGAACACCUUUACUAGUUGAAAAUCAGAAACAGUAGGUUAAUAAUGAAAGAUUAAAAGCCUAAAGGGGUACACAUGGGAGGGAAUAUACAACUGUAAAGAAAAAGUGUUUAAAAGAAAAGGGAGCAAAACUUGUUCUUUAAAUAGAGGAAGAGAACAUUCUAAUAAGGGGCUUAAGCUUGAACAUCUGAAACACAUUAAGAAUUCAUAGGGGGUGUCUUUUUGGAAUCAGAUUAUUAGAGAAAGAGAGGAAAGAAUGCACUAAAAUCUUGAGCCUCAAAAAACAUACAGUUACAUUGCUUUCUUUUGGUCUACUUUCGAGUUUCUAGCUCAUUUUGGAUCAAAUCUACUUCAAUCUCCUUGUUCUAUUCCAUAUUUGGUAUUUUAAAAUAGUUCGAGUCCUCUAGGUAUUGGAUUUGGAUAAUUUAAGCCAACUGUGGUCCAUUUGUUUAGUAUUCAUCUUCUGCUUUCAUUUCUGGGCCUUGUUGGUGCUGUUUAGAAGCUGAUUUUUAGUCUAGUGCGGUUUUAAAACGUCUUUGGGAUCAUUGAGUUAUUUUUGGGCUGAGAUCAAUUGUGUUUUGUUGUUCUUUUUUCAUUGUUGGAUACUAGCUGUUUGCUACUUGCUGCUGAUCUUUUCUUCUUCUUCUUCUUCUUCUUCUUCUUCUUCUUCUUCUUCUUCAUUAUUUCGACUUCAAGGUACACUUCCUCAAUUAUCCUGAUGUAGUUUUGAAAAUAAAGUUGGAAUAAAAGUUGCACCAGAUCUAUGUGUUGAAGAAUGCAUUCUGUAGGUUGUAGAUUGUAGUUAACUAGUUGUAGUUAAUUUGUUAACCUAUAUUAAUAUUACAUAAAUAAUGGGUAGAGGGCUUGCAUAAUGGGGACUGUUUUAGGUUUGUUUGGACUGUGAAUUAAGGCUAAACAUUCUGUAUUUUGUUACAUUUGCUUAAUUUUAGUUUAGUUUAGUUUAGCCCCAGACAAGUACUGAAUGCUUUGAAACUUGUGGUUUGGCAUAAUCUAGCGUCGCUAAUGAAUUACAAAUCAAGAUUUCUAAUUACAUAAUGUGUAAGUCAUUCAGAAAUAAAGGAAAAAAUCAACAAUUGUGCAGAUUCGAUAGUCAUAGCUUAGUUUUAACCAGUUUGCUUUGGACUUAUUAAACAAUCCAUAUGUGUUGCCCAAACCAUAAUGGAAUCAAAGAGCAGUGUUAGCCAAAAAUUAGUCUGUCUUGCUCAUCUCAAUUGGGUGAUAAAUUCAGCAUGUGUGCUUUAACUUAUUAGAACUAGUGUGUAUUUGGAAUUGCUUGUGUGCUUCCUCCAUUUUGGGCUAUUAUGCAGCCCAGUCUACUGAUAAUCCUGGGUUGUCUAUUAAAUUUGUCUGAAUUAACAUCGAGAUGUAUUACUUGUAAUGUUGGUUUAUUAAUACUAGUAAUUAAUUAGGACUUUUUCAUUAUUAUUAGAGACAAACAAACAAUAGAAAAAUUGUAGUUACUUUACGAUUUCCUUUUAAAAAAUAAGAGACGAGCAUCGCCAAAUAAAAUGCACGAAUUGCGGAACCCUCAUUAAAUGUAUGUUAAAUCUUAAAUUUUGGGACGGGCCAUUUAGCAAAUUUCACGGCCUUCCCAAAAUAAUAACGUGUUAGUAUCUUUAGGGGCGUAUUUAAUAACAUUAUCUCUCUAAACUCGGGUGCGCAUUUAUGUGACCCAAAUCUAAAUCUCAACGAUGUUAAAAAUAUGUCAGAAACCACGGGUGUAUUUAUGUGACUUGGUUCAAGACUUGUUGUAAUGACGUUGUAAUUUUCUUUUAAAAAAUAAAUAAAAAGCGGUCAGGUUAAAAUUUGCACAUAGGUUCAUAAUUGUUAAAAUCAUAUAAUUCAAGCAAAAUAUAACAGUUGAGCGACUCUGCUAGAACCAUGGAACUCGAGAAUGCCUAACACCUUCUCCCGAGUUAAUAGAAUUCCUUAUCGAGAUUUCUGGUUCGCGGACUGUAAUACAGAGUCAAUAUUUUCCUCGAUUUGGGAUUUAACCAGUGACUUGGGAAACAAUAAAUCUCCCAAGUGGCGAAUCUGAUUUAAUGAAAUGAAUUCCGUUCCGAUUGUCCUUUAAUUGGAAAAUUUUCCUUUACGCCCCUGCGGGCGCUUAUAAAAAGGAGGUGUGACAGCUCUGGCGACUCUGCUGGGGAAGAGAACCCAGAACUUCUGGUUUAGUGUUUAAGAAUUCGAUCUUAGAAUAAUUAUUGUGUUUGGAUUUAUUUAUUAUCUGAUUUUAUUAUAUGAUUGGGCUCAAAUGUGCAAAAUGAUGCUUUUUACCGCUGUGACAUUAUUUGAACAGUAUAUAUAAAUUGUGCCGAAACCCUCUCUUCUCACCUCCGGGGAUGUGCUUACUGGUUGAGACUCUUAUUCUGUUAGUGUUAUACCCAUAAAUAAAAAAGAGGCUCGAAAAAGUUACAAAGCCGAAUGAUCUUGCGGGUCCCCGGUAGGUAGCCCCCUCGACUCGAGUUGUCCGCUCGGGUACACUAUUUAGAACACAUACCCAGGUUUUGAACCUAGAAUAACAUGACUUCAUGCCAGAUCCCUAGUAGGAACGCUUAUUUGCAUCAUAUUGCAUUUGACUUAGGGGACUCAACACAGGAUUGGGUCCGUCUAGGACAAGCGACCUGAAAUGAAAAAGACCAUCUUGCUGCAUCUUGCUUGUUUUAUGCAUUUAUUUGCUUCAGACUUGCUUGCUGGCCGACUUCUGAAAAUUGGGAAUAUUGGAAAUUUAGGAAAAACAGAAAAACAACAGUGUAGAGAGAUAACUACUUAUUUUUUUAAAAAAAUAAACCAAUGCCCAAGUAGUGCCGAAACUCUGCUUAAAUUUUGAGAAAAUAAAAAGAAAGAAAAAAAGAAAAAAUGUUUUUAGUUUGAUUUUUUUAAUGACAAAAUAAAAGAGUCUUGUUUUAAAAUUCAGUUUAUUUUCUUUGCUCGAACUACGCCGGUUUGAUUCUCACAGGGUGUGAGAUACGUAGGCAACCCUUAUUGGGUCCAACCUCCCUUUUUGCAAUAAUACCCAAAAAUACCAAAAUUUUAAUUUUCAUCAUAUCGGAUGAUGUCGUUCUUGUAAAAAAUAGCCGAAUGUUCCCAAACGAGACACCGGAAGGCUGACUUUGCAUGAACAAGCCACCUUUGGUCAUUUUUAAUGUUUUGACCGAUUAUCAAACACAACCAUUAGAUCUUCUUCAAAGUGCUGAAAGGUCGUAUUGACAAGGCCGGAUAUUUUAUGAAACUUUUGAGAAACAAUAAUAAAUUUUAGAAAAAAAAGAUAAAGAAAAAAAAAAGAAAACAACAAAAUGAGAAAGAAAUAGAUAAGGGAAAAAAGAAAAAGAAAAAUAAUAAAUAAGUGAAAAGGGAAAACAUCAAGGAAUUGGGUGAACUAUGUUUGACCCGAUUCCUCAAAGAGGAUACGUAGGCGCCUCACGGCUCGGUCAUAGUGUAACAAAAAAAAUCAGAAAUACCCAAGCAAGAAACUGGGGCAGAAGUUGUGUUUGUCGUAAAGAAAUCUGGUUCUGAAUGUUGUAAUUUUGAACACAAGUUAAUUUGUUUUGAGCCUUUAAUACCCAUUCUUUCUGGCCCUACCGAAAAUCUCACAUUACGGUGCAAAGAAACACCUUCUGAUCAGUCUUCAAAAGAUGCCAAGUUAGGCAGAUAGAAAUCGAGAAUAACAUACUGAUCCCCAAUAACAAAGUAACAAAAAUGAGAGAGUCUUACCGGUGAAAACCUUCACAUGCACCAUAAGGCGAUGAAAGCUGAACGAAAGACCAAAAUGAGAGAGGCUUCAUAGGAAAAACCCUCCGGGAAUUAUAAGUCGAAUAAGGUUUGAGAAUCAGAUGGGAAAGCAACAGUCAGAGAUGGUGAAAGAUGAGUAACGAUUGAAAUCAAAAUCCACUCUCACGGUUUAAGGGUACCACGCGAGUUGAACAUCAGAAUUUCUUGACAGAAUAGGCUACAUGUGCAUAUCAUAACCAUUAGAGUUGGUACCUGUGUCUGAUAGAUUUUGCUUCAUAUUUUUUUUGUUAGGACUCAUCUCUUUCUUUUGUAUUUUACUCCGUUCCUUUUAUCUUUAUCAUUUCCUCUUCUUGAGUCUGUUUGGUCAAAACAAGUGAUAAAUGACUUCAACAUAUGCCCUAAGCUUUCUAAUUGCACAAAAUGAGAUCUGGCCAUUACAUCAAAGUGCCAUAAGUUAGGAAAGAAUGACAAAGUGCAUUGAGCUAAUAAUAGUCAACAAGCUUUGAUAUUCGUGCAAAAAUACCCAGAUUCAAUCCAAAUCAAUUAAUGGACAGUGCGAUAGAAGGAGGGCCAGGGUGAAUGAAUCAAAAAAAAAUUCUAUGAUGAUAUUGAGAAAAUGGGGGACCAGUGAUGAGAAAGAUAUUCCAAGCAGAAAUCAGUUGUCACUAAACACAUCAGGUUCAGAUAGGAAGGGUACAAUGUGGAAAAUUAUAGUUGAGAAGUCUGUGAAUAAGGAGUCGCCAAGAAGUUUGAAGCUAUCAGCCAAGUCCCAAAUAAGGUUGGACAACGCAGAGCAUGGAAAGGAGAAAAGGAAAGCCAUCCCCAGCAGGAGUACCACAAUGAACCACCGCAAUUUAAACUGACAAAAUUUACUUUGAUUUGAAAAAGGGGCAUGAAAUGUUAUUAAUGGAGAAAAGACAUAGUACAAGAAAGAUUAUCAAACUGGAGCAGAAAAUUAUCUGUCGUUUUGAAAAUUUUCUUGAAGUCGGGUACCCAUCUAAAGAACAUGGAGGUCAAUACAAGUUUAGGGGGACCAUGUUUUGGAAGAAGACAUUACCAUUAAAAAGAAAUAGAAAAGGAAAAAAAGAGGGAAGUAGUUUUCAGAGGAAUGAAACAACAGUUUUAAGGGAAAUAGUUUUCGGAGGAAGAUAACACAAGUUUUUAGGAAAGUAGUUUUUAAGGAGAGCAAUACCAAUUUUUAGGGAAGUAGUUUUUAAAGGAAGAAAAUUCAAGUUAGAAGGUAAAUAAAACAUGUUUCGGAGGAAAAUGGUUCAGGAGGCAAGGGAGAACAAUGUCGGUAGAAUACAGUUUAAGUUGUAGUCGAGGUCAGGAGCCCGCCUGGAGACUGGAAAGCCGUUAUCUUUUAAAUUGUAGUUGAAGUCAGGUGCCCUCCUGAAAAACGGAAAGACGUUAUCUUUUUAAGUUGUAAUUGAAGUUUUAAAUUAAUGUUGAGGUCUGAUGCCCACCUGAAGAACGGAAAGGCGUUAUCUUUUAAGUUGUAUUUAAUAUUUUAAAUUAUAUUUGAGGAUAGGUGCCCGCCUGAAGAACGGAAAGGCGUUGUCUUUGUAAGUUGUAGUUAAAGUUUUAAAUUAUAGUUGAGGUCAGGUCCCCGCCUGAAGAAUGGAAUGGCGUUGUCUUUUUAAGUUGUAAUUGAAGUUUAUAAAUUAUAGUUGAGGUCACGUGCCCGCCUGAAAAACCAAAAGGCGUUAUAUUUUUAAGUUGUAUUUGAUUUUUAAAAUUAUUGUUGAGGUCAGGAGCCCUCCUGAAGAACGGAAAGGCGAUAUGUUUUUAAGUUGUAGUUGAGUCAGGAGCCCGCCUGGAGAACGGGAAAGGAGUUAUCUUUUUGAGUUGUAGUUGAGGUUAGGAGCCCGCCUGGAGAACGAAAAGGCGUUAUCUUUUUAAGUUGUAGUUGAAGUCAAAAGGGUUUGUCAUUUUAAGUUGUAGUUGAGGUUAGUGUUGGAAACACGUUCUCAAGGCUUUAUACUAAAACGUGCGUUCUUAUGUGUAGGUUUUCAUGAAUGACAAACAAGCGCAAAUUGAUAUAUGACGAAGUUCAA
rnacentral:lncRNA from 1 species